UACGGGGGGGCAAGCGUUGUUCGGAAUUACUGGGCGUAAAGGGCUCGUAGGUGGCCAACUAAGUCGGACGUGAAAUCCCUCGGCUUAACCGGGGAACUGCGUCUGAUACUGGAUGGCUUGAGUUCGGGAGAGGGAUGCGGAAUUCCAGGUGUAGCGGUGAAAUGCGUAGAUAUCUGGAGGAACACCGGUGGCGAAGGCGGCAUCCUGGACCGACACUGACGCUGAGGAGCGAAAGCCAGGGAGCAAACGGG
rnacentral:rRNA from 1 species